rnacentral:rRNA from 1 species
GAUUCAGCGUGACUCGAUAGCGGCGCUAAAUGAUCGUGCGACGAACGGCGUACGCGUCGUUCGCGCCUUUUGUUUAUGCGAACCGAAGUCGAACGCGUGCACUUCUCCCCCAGUAGGACGUCGCGAUCCUUUGGGUGUCGAUCUAAGGCCCGCGGUGGAGCCCGUUCGAACGGUUCGCCGUUUCGGACGAACCCGCGGUGUUUCCCGGUCGACUCGCUCGAAGGUAUGCAUAUGGCGCCGGGCCGCUACACAGUUAGCGUCCGACCAUUGGCAAGCGCGUUCGUUUAUGACGGUAAUCGCACCUGGUGUCGGUUCUGUCUACGAAUGGCUGUUCGCCAAUGAGUUCUCGGACAGACUCGGUUGAAACGCCGAUCUGCGACGCUAUAGCUUUGGGUACUUUCAGGACCCGUCUUGAAACACGGACCAAGGAGUCUAGCAUGUGCGCGAGUCAUUGGGACAUGACUAAACCUAAAGGCGCAAUGAAAGUGAAAGUUCGUCUUGCACGGACUAAGGGAAGAUGGGCGGCCGUUACGGCUGUCGCCCCGCACUCCCGGGGCGUCUCAUUCUCAUUGCGAGAAGAGGCGCACCAAGAGCGUACACGCUGGGACCCGAAAGAUGGUGAACUAUGCCUGGUCAGGACGAAGUCAGGGGAAACCCUGAUGGAGGUCCGUAGCGAUUCUGACGUGCAAAUCGAUCGUCGGAACUGGGGUAUAGGGGGCGAAAAGACUAAAUCGAAACCAUCUAGUAGCUGGGUUCCCUCCGAAAGUUUCCCUCAGGAUAGCUGGCGCUCGUCGCUUUACGAAGUUUUCAUCCCGGUAAAAGCGAAAUGGAUUAGAAGGCAUUGGGGGUCGAAAACGGGCUUCAACCCUAUUUCUCAAAACUUUUAAAAUGGG